rnacentral:misc_RNA from 1 species
GUGAAUCAUCGAAUCUUUGAACGCACAUUGCGCCUUUUGGUAUUCCAAAGGGCAUGCUUGUUUGAGCGUCAUUUCUCUCUCACUAACAGUGGUUUUGUUGUUAUCUCUCCUUUUGGAGAGUGCAAUGAAAGGAAAUGGCAGUACUUCGGAGUUGCUUCUAGUGUUUUAGGUUCUACCAACUACACUUCUUGGCUCUCUAGUAAGUUGGCUUGAAAACUUCUUUCAACGUUGACCUCAAAUCAAGUAAGAUUACCCGCUGAACUUAAGCAUAUCAAUAAGCGGAGGA